AUUUUCCUGCCACCGGGUAGGGAUGCCAAGGCAUCUGCCGCACAUCGUUAGGUCUUAGAAGAUGUGCAAAGCAGAUGUCUUUUAUUUU
rnacentral:ncRNA from 1 species